rnacentral:rRNA from 1 species
GAAUGCUGACAUAAGUAACGAUAAUGCGGGUGAAAAACCCGCACGCCGGAAGACCAAGGGUUCCUGUCCAACGUUAAUCGGGGCAGGGUGAGUCGACCCCUAAGGCGAGGCUGAAAAGCGUAGUCGAUGGGAAACAGGUUAAUAUUCCUGUACUUGGUGUUACUGCGAAGGGGGGACGGAGAAGGCUAGGCUAGCCGGGCGACGGUUGUCCCGGUUUAAGCAUGUAGGCGGAGUGACCAGGUAAAUCCGGUUGCUUAUCAACGCUGAGGUGUGAUGACGAUGCACUACGGUGCAGAAGUAGUUGAUGCCAUGCUUCCAGGAAAAGCCUCUAAGCAUCAGGUAACAUGAAAUCGUACCCCAAACCGACACAGGUGGUCAGGUAGAGAAUACUCAGGCGCUUGAGAGAACUCGGGUGAAGGAACUAGGCAAAAUGGUGCCGUAACUUCGGGAGAAGGCACGCUGGCAUUAGGUAAAGGGACUUGCUCCCGGCGCCGAAGCCAGUCGCAGAUACCAGCUGGCUGCAACUGUUUAAUAAAAACACAGCACUGUGCAAACACGAAAGUGGACGUAUACGGUGUGACGCCUGCCCGGUGCUGGAAGGUUAAUUGAUGGGGUCAGCCGCAAGGCGAAGCUCUUGAUCGAAGCCCCAGUAAACGGCGGCCGUAACUAUAACGGUCCUAAGGUAGCGAAAUUCCUUGUCGGGUAAGUUCCGACCUGCACGAAUGGCGUAAUGAUGGCCAGGCUGUCUCCACCCGAGACUCAGUGAAAUUGAACUCGCUGUGAAGAUGCAGUGUACCCGCGGCAAGACGGAAAGACCCCGUGAACCUUUACUAUAGCUUGACACUGAACAUUGAGCCUUGAUGUGUAGGAUAGGUGGGAGGCAUAGAAGUGUGGACGCCAGUCUGCAUGGAGCCAACCUUGAAAUACCACCCUUUAAUGUUUGAUGUUCUAACUCGGCCCCGUAAUCCGGGGUGAGGACAGUGUCUGGUGGGUAGUUUGACUGGGGCGGUCUCCUCCCAAAGAGUAACGGAGGAGCACGAAGGUUAGCUAAUCACGGUCGGACAUCGUGAGGUUAGUGCAAAGGCAUAAGCUAGCUUGACUGCGAGAGUGACGGCUCGAGCAGGUACGAAAGUAGGUCUUAGUGAUCCGGUGGUUCUGAAUGGAAGGGCCAUCGCUCAACGGAUAAAAGGUACUCCGGGGAUAACAGGCUGAUACCGCCCAAGAGUUCAUAUCGACGGCGGUGUUUGGCACCUCGAUGUCGGCUCAUCACAUCCUGGGGCUGAAGUAGGUCCCAAGGGUAUGGCUGUUCGCCAUUUAAAGUGGUACGCGAGCUGGGUUUAGAACGUCGUGAGACAGUUCGGUCCCUAUCUGCCGUGGGCGUUGGAAGAUUGAGAGGGGCUGCUCCUAGUACGAGAGGACCGGAGUGGACGAAUCACUGGUGUUCGGGUUGUCAUGCCAAUGGCAUUGCCCGGUAGCUAAAUUCGGAAGAGAUAACCGCUGAAAGCAUCUAAGCGGGAAACUUGCCUCGAGAUGAGUCUUCCCUGGGGCUUUAAGCCCCCUGAAGGAACGUUAAAGACGAUGACGUUGAUAGGCUGGGUGUGUAAGUGCAGCGAUGCAUUGAGCUAACCAGUACUAAUGAACCGUGAGGCUUAACCUU